rnacentral:rRNA from 1 species
AUGGCAGGAAAAGAACACAAUAAAGAAAAUAAAGAUCAUUCUGUGUUGUUUGAUUUCCUCAGAGAUCAGGUUCUUGGAGCUCCCGUCUUCGAUACAUAUGGAAACCUUGUUGGAUCUGUUCAUGAAUGUGGAACUUCAUUUGAUUUUAAGUUUGGCGUGAGAUCAGAGUAUCUACAGGAUACAUUAUAUAAGUGGUUGGCCGGGAGACAAUGGAAGGAUGUAAACAAACCAGGAUCGCAGAUUUGGCAUCCGGACGACGAGGAGCGCAUUGACAGGGGCAUGAGGGUAGGACUGAGGGGAGGUCUAUGGGGUUUGCCGCAUGUGCCUCUGGAUCAAGAAGAAGAAGAAGACAGCUUUCAGUUUGAUUCGUUGGUAGCUACUGCUGAUAGCCAAACUAGUGGUGGCAAGGAAAAUGUGCCUCUGGAUCAAGAAGAAGAAGAAGCCAACUUUCAGUUUGAUUGGUUGGUAGCUACUGGUGAUAGCCAAACUAGUGGUGAGAAGGAAAAGAAAUUUGAAGGAGACAAAGUGGCGGUGGACAAGGUCAGCUCAGACAUUGUGGAUCUUCGUUCCGACAAUUUCGUAGCAGACGGUGUUAUCACCAAGUACUUGAAGCAUUUAUCUUCUACUAAGCUCAAUGAUGAUGAAGUGUAUCUUGCUGAUGCAACUGUGUCUUCGGCGUAUGCUCACGAUGCUUCAUCCAUCAAUGUCGAGUUACUACGACGCAGUCGCCUUGUGCUCUUGCCGGUUAACAACAACACCAAUUUUGGGCGGGCUGACUUGGGCACACAUUGGUCUUUAUUCCUUAUUGAUGCCAUCAACGGGCCACCACCACAGUUCUACCACAUGGAUUCUCUGGAUGGACUAAAUCGUUCUGCUGCAGAUCGUCUUGCUACAGCACUCGGUGCAGUCUUCCCUGAUGCACGCGGUGUUGUGCAGGUGCCCACACCAAGACAAAAAAAUGCGUAUGAUUGUGCAAUAUAUGUCAUGGCGUUGGCAAAAAGUAUCAUUACAUGGUGGAAAAGCAGAACCGAGUCCACAAAGCAUUGGAUGCAAAUGAUACAGACAGACGUGACCGAAGAGAAUGUCCAUACCUUGAGACACGACUUUGCUGAUCGACUAGAGCAGGAUGAAAAAAAUCAGAAGUGA